rnacentral:rRNA from 1 species
UACGGAGGGGGCUAGCGUUGUUCGGAAUUACUGGGCGUAAAGCGCACGUAGGCGGCUUUGUAAGUUAGAGGUGAAAGCCCGGGGCUCGAACUCCGGAAUUGCCUUUAAGUACUAGCAUCGCUAGAAUUGUGGAGAGGUAAGUGGAAUUCCGAGUGUAGAGGUGAAAUUCGUAGAUAUUCGGAAGAACACCAGUGGCGAAGGCGACUUACUGGACACAUAUUGACGCUGAGGUGCGAAAGCGUGGGGAGCAAACAGG